rnacentral:snRNA from 13 species
AUACUUACCUGGCAGGGGAGAUACCAUGAUCAAGAAGGUGGUUCACCCAGGGUGAGGCUCAGCCGUUGCACUCCGGUUGUGCUGCACAUUAAAUUCUGGCAGACACACAGGUACUUACAAAGGC